UCUGUGCGCGAAAGAGUGAACAUCGCGUUAGUAUCCGCAAAUAGUAGAUAUCAAUAUAUUAAUAAAAUGGAAAAUUUGGAAAGUUCAUCUAAUAUAAUUUGGGAUUAUUUUAUUAAACUGCCCGGUAUAAAAUGCAAACAUUGUGGUGAACAGUUUUCAAGCGAAGUGACAGAUAUCCUAGAAGAUCAUAUGUAGGAUAAACAUCCGUCUAUCAUCGAAACAUCGUUAAAACCUUGGUGUCAGCAAUUUUUCCGUGUUGAUACAAGUAACAAAAUACAUAAAUGUGUCUUCAACAAUUGCAAUACCGAUCUAAAGAUCUUCCGUGGAACUAACACUUUAGAAGAACAUUUGGCCAAGGAACACGAAAUAGUUCAAGGAAGAACUGUCAAGCAGGAAGAAAGGACAGAAGAUACAAAAAUAUGGCAAUAUUUUAAAAACUCUGAAUUGUCUAUUGCAAAUUGCAAUCUAUGUUCCCAAGAAAUAAAAUAUCAACAGAUGGCCGAACUGGAGUUUCAUAUAGAACAUGUACACCCGAAAAUAAUUAAAGAAGUAGAAAACGUUUUGUUACAAGGAAAUGAUUCGUUGAAAAGACGAUUUAAUUUUAAUGGCAAACAUUUGGCAACGUGUGAUUAUGGUUGCCAAUUAAGUAUAUUUCGUGGACUAGAUAACUUCCUAUGCCACUAUGAUGACAAACAUCAAAUAUUCUAGGUACGCUCCAGAGGUAACCACAUAAAAGCAGACAACCGGAGUAGCCUUGAAUGUUGAAUGAUUAGGGUUACCAUAUCUAAAAUUUCAAAACUAAAACUUCCAGGCCAAAAACUCCGGACAUUUUGUUUAUAACCCCGGACACAUACAAAAAUGCAAUUGUAGGUUAAUAAAAUUGGUCAGAAACAUUUAUUGUAAUACAUAAAUAUGAAACAUUAAAGAAUAUAUUAUACAUAUAUUAACAAAAAAUGGUUUACUAAUUUUUACUUAGUAAUUGCACUUUAUAAAUUAAAAGAAUCACAUUUUUAUGCUAAGACUAUAUAAGAUUUUAACUAAAUAUUCUUUGGUAAUAUAAAAUAACGUACAUAAAUUUAUCAU